rnacentral:misc_RNA from 1 species
UGAUUAGACAAACAUAAUUAUGAAAUUUCUACAGUAAGAAAAGCCGGAAAAUCAAUUUGUGCACGAUAAUUUGGUACAUUGUGUCUUGAUACUAGUCCAUAGUCUUAUGGGCCAGAGAAAAACAAAUAAACAAACUACAGUCCAGUUUGCAAGCAAAGCUCCCCAGCUGCCUAACUCCACAGAGUGCAUCAUUGUACACGAUUUGCAAAACCAGUUACUUGAAUGCAAAGGACAACAAUGAUGACAGAAAUUUGUCAAAGCUGACAGUAUUUAAAUGUCAUUUGCAGAAUAAAAAAAAAUUCAAAAUUUUUGAUAAAACUAUAAAGCAUUAACCAAAAUAUGGAUGUCGCCCCAAAUUCUUUUGAUUGAUCAUCUGCGGAUGGGUACAUGGUGGGUGAACUGCUGUACUCUUGCAUUACACUUGCCCAUAUUAUUUACACUUUUUCUGAAUGAAACAAAGCCAGUCUUUUUUUUUUUUUUUU